rnacentral:siRNA from 1 species
UGUGUUUUCACCAAAGCCCA